GACGAACGCUGGCGGCGUGCUUAACACAUGCAAGUCGAACGGAAAGGCACUGAUUUUGUGGGGUGAUGGAGUGGCGAACGGGUGAGUGAGACGUGAGUAACCUGCCCUUGACUUUGGGAUAACUUCAGGAAACUGGGGCUAAUACCGGAUAGGAGCUCCUGCUGCGUGGUGGGGGGUGGAAAUUUUCGGCGGGUGGGGAUGGACUGGCGGCUUAUCAGCUUGUUGGUGGGGGAGUGGCUUGCCAAGGCUUUGACGGGUAGCCGGCAGGAGAGGGUGGACGGCCACAUUGGGACUGAGAUACGGCCCAGACUCCUACGGUAGGCAGCAGUGGGGAAUAUUGCACAAUGGGCGGAAGCCUGAUGCAGCAACGCCGCGUGCGGGAUGACGGCCUUCUGGUUGUAAACCGCUUUCGCCUGUGACGAAGCGUGAGUGACGGUAAUGGGUAAAGAAGCACCGGCUAACUACGUG
rnacentral:rRNA from 1 species